rnacentral:lncRNA from 11 species
ACUCUGUGUGCCUUUGUUCUCCGUGUCCUUUUGCACUCAAAUAUUUGCCCUCCUCGGUGCUGUCUGCUGGGAAAAGGGGCCAGUGGGAAUCCCCAGAAAGGCAGGGCGGGGGGCCGUGUGGGCCAAAGGGGGUCCUGGGCCUUGGUCCUAGGGGGAGCAGCCUCUGGGCAGAGGGAAGGGCUAAGGGGCGGGUGCGGAUUGUGCAAGGGAUUGGGAAACCCUCUGGGCACCUCCAUAAAGGCCUGGAGCGGCACUGCGUCCACCUGAUCCUCUCCUGGCAGGAUGGCCGUGCUGCUGCGAACCCUGUGCUGGCUCAGCUGGGCCCUGGCCCUGGAAGGCUUCCCCACACCGGACCGCAAGCCCCACGGCACCGGAGCAGGAGGCGGCGGCGGCAGCUGGCACCAUCUGGGUCCGCAUCCCGGUCCCAGUGACCCAGGUAAGCACUUGGCCCCCUCCUCUCUCCUCACUUCCCCAUUCUUCUUCCACAAAGGCUUUAGGG